AGAACAACGAGAAAGAGAAUAUAAUAAAAUUAGGGCCAGAAUAUUUUCGAACUUCAACAAAAACAAAAAUAAUACAAAUAUAAUGAAUAACAUAAAUGAUCAUAACAAUUACAACAGUAUGCUAAAUUAUACUGCAGGUUUUAAUAAUGUAUAUAAUACAACUUCUGAAGCGUAUGCAUACUUCAAUAAAUAUUAUAGUAUUCCUACUAACAGUAUAUAUAAUACGUUUUAUGUUCAUAAUAACAAUACUAAUGUCGUUAAUAAUACUAAUCAUAUGAGAAGUGCAAGUAAUAUAAAUAUACCAUGUCCUGGUACUAAUAAUAAUAUUAAUAUGAAUACACAUAUUAAUACAAAUAUGAAUAGUCAUAAUAAUAGUGGUGGGGGUAAUAAUAACAUGAUUAUGUGCAAUAUGAACAUUAUUAAUGACAUAUCUACAACAUCAUAUUUAUAUCCCAAAACUAACCAAACUAAUAUACAAAAUGUAGUUACAUCUGCAAAUAAUGAAAAUAAUAAUACUUUAUAUCAAAAUUAUUUAUAUAAUUUAUCUAAUUUACAAUGUAUGGUACAAAACAAUCAUCCUCUUUUUCCUUAUGCUACCGAUAUCUCCAAUAAUAAUUAUUUUAAUAAAAAUAACAAUUUUAUGUUAAACCCUAACAUUAUUAAUAAUAUGAACGGUGCUAUGAGUUCUGGUAUAAAUAGUGCCAUUCACAGCAGUAUGAACACUGGAAUUAAUAACAGUAUGAACGCUGGAAUUAAUAACAGUAUGAACGCUGGGAUGAGUAAACAUGUCAACAAAAAUGCAAUCCAUUUUGAUUAUACAAAUAAUGUUAAUGUAAAUAAUACGAUAGUACCAUUUAAAAAUAAAGGAAGAUAUUAUAAUUACAGGUUAAACGGUAAAUAUCAAAAUAAAAAUUAUGAAAACAAUGUAUAUAUAAAACCAUACUUACCUAAUAAUAACGAUAACAAGAGUCAUACAAAUAUUAACUAUACAUAUAAUACCAGUAAUAAUAAUGUCAGUUAUAACGACAACAACACUGCUAGUAGUAUAAGUAACAAUAAUAAUUACAAUAAUAAUUACAAUAACAAUAAUUACAAUAAUAAUUAUAAUAAUAAUUAU
rnacentral:lncRNA from 1 species